rnacentral:rRNA from 1 species
CUGGCUCAGGACGAACGCUGGCGGCGUGCCUAAUACAUGCAAGUCGUGCGGACCUUUUAAAAGCUUGCUUUUAAAAGGUUAGCGGCGGACGGGUGAGUAACACGUGGGCAACCUGCCUGUAAGACUGGGAUAACGCCGGGAAACCGGGGCUAAUACCGGAUCGUUUUUUCCUCCGCAUGGAGGAGAAAGGAAAGGCGGCUUCGGCUGCCACUUACAGAUGGGCCCGCGGCGCAUUAGCUAGUUGGCGGGGUAACAGCCCA